GCCGGAUUAGCUCAGUUGGUAGAGCACCUGAUUUGUAAUCAGGAGGCCGCGGGUUCGAUCCCUGCAUCCGGCACCA
rnacentral:tRNA from 1 species